GACAUGCAAGUCAGAGCGGGGUUUAGGGAGCUUGCUCCUUAAAUCUCGUGGUGGACGGGUGAGUAACGCGUGAGCAACCUGCCUUGAAGAGGGGAAUAACUGAUGGACACAGAAGCUAUACCGCAUAAUGUCAGGAGGAGCAUUUCUCUUUCACCUAAGAAUUUUCGCUUUGAGAUGGGCUCGCGUCUUUUAGCUAGUAGGUGGGGUAACGGACCCACCAAGGCGACGAUCAGUAGCCGGACUGAGAGGUUGAACGGCCACAUUGGGACUGAGAAACGGCACAGACUCCUACGGGAAGCAGCAGUGAGGGAUAUUGCACAAAGGGAGCAAGCCUGAUGCAGCAACCCGCGUGAGGGAAGACGGUUUUCGGAUUGUAAGCGUCUGUCUUCGGCGACGAACACAAUGACGGUAGCCGAGGAGGAAGUACUGGCUAAGUCGUGCCAGCAGCCGUCGGUAAUACGUAGGUGGCGAGCGUUGUCCGGUAUUAUGGGUGUAAAGGGAGCGCAGGGGGGAGAAUAAGUCAGCGGUGAAAUCUACGGGCUCAACCCGUUGCCUGCCGUUGAAACUAUUUUUCUUGAGGGGAGUAGAGGCAAGCGGAAUUCCGAGUGUAGCGGUGAAAUGCGUAGAGAUUCGGAGGAACACCAGUGGCGAAGGCGGCUUGCUGGGCUCUAACUGACGCUGAGGCUCGAAAGUGUGCGGCAGCAAACAGGAUUAGAUACCCUGGUAGUCCACACCGUAAACGAUGAUUACUAGGUGUGGGGGGUCUGACCCCCUCCGUGCCGGAGCUGACCGCAAUAAGUAAUCCACCUGGGGAGUACGGCCGCAAGGUUGAAACUCAAAGGAAUUGACGGGGGCCCGCACAAGCAGUAGGAUUAUGUGGUUUAAUUCGAAGCAAUCGCGAAGAACCUUACCAGGUCUUGACAUCCUAAGAAGACACUAGAGAUAGAGUUGCGCCUUUGGGGGAACUUAGAGACAGGUGGUGCAUGGUGGUCGUCAGCUCGUGUCGUGAGACGUUGGGUUAAGUCCCGCAACGAGCGCAUCCCCUGCCAUUAGUUGCUACGAAAGAGCCCUCUAAUGGGACCUCUACCGACAAGGAGGAGGAAGGUGGGGACGACGUCAAAUCAUCAUGCCCCUUACGACCUGGGCCACACACGUAAUAGAAUGGCCGUUUAACAGCGUGAGGCAAACCCGCGGAGGGAGCAAAACAGCAAAAGCGGUCUCAGUUCGGGAUCGCAGGCUGCAACCCGCCUAACGUGAAGUUGGAAUUGCAUUAAUCGCGGAUCAGCAUGCCGGGUGAAU
rnacentral:rRNA from 1 species